GACGAACGCUGGCGGCGUGCCUAAUACAUGCAAGUAGGACGCACAGUUUAUACCGUAGCUUGCUACACCAUAGACUGUGAGUUGCGAACGGGUGAGUAACGCGUAGGUAACCUACCUAUUAGAGGGGGAUAACUAUUGGAAACGAUAGCUAAUACCGCAUAACAGUAUGUAACACAUGUUAGAUGCUUGAAAGAUGCAAUUGCAUCGCUAGUAGAUGGACCUGCGUUGUAUUAGCUAGUAGGUAGGGUAAAGGCCUACCUAGGCAACGAUACAUAGCCGACCUGAGAGGGUGAUCGGCCACACUGGGACUGAGACACGGCCCAGACUCCUACGGGAGGCAGCAGUAGGGAACUUCGGCAAGGGGGGAAUCCUGACCGAGCAACGCCGCGUGAGUGAAGAAGGUUUUCGGAUCGUAAAGCUCUGUUGUUAAGGAAGAACGAGUGUGAGAAUGGAAAGUUCAUGCUGUGACGGU
rnacentral:rRNA from 1 species